AGGAGGGACGCCAAUAAGGCAUCCAAUAAGAUAAGUCUUAUAAAAUAUAUAGAUAUAUGAUAAUUGAGACUGAGCUAACAGAUGAGAAUCCUAGUCAUUGGCCAAGCAGCAUUGUAACUAAUACAAGUCUCUCUGUGUAUUCAUUUGGGCCUAACUCGGGCAGGCGGCUGUCGUAAAGCUCACACGUGGCAGUGGGGCUCAGGAAGCUUUUGGUGGAAAGAUUUAUCGUAACAUAUACUGUUCAAGGAUUGGAAGACCAAAAAUAACAAAGGGGAUGUUCUUUUUCUGCUCCUACCCAUUUUCCAAUGGCUAAUCUCCUUCAACAUUCUGCUACAGGGCUGAGAGACAGCAGCCCAAAUCCCAUGCCAAGAAAUUCCCCGUAGAUGUGUGUGGGUCAGAGUGAAAAAGUCUGGCAUCAGAUGGUGGGAGGGCAUGGCACUGGAGUCCUCUGGAAAAUCCCUUGAAUUUCUCUGCAGUCUAGAUUUUUUUUUUCUUUUUAAUAGUGUCAACUGUGUGAUUGGCCUUUGGGGACUGGCGGAUACCGAGUCUGUUGACCUCUCUGUCUGUUUCCUGAGGGGAGGCAGAUUGCACCUGGACAUACUCAGUGUUUCCCUGGAGUUAUUCAUGGAAGCCAAAGAAUAAUUUUUAAAUAGAAACCCGGCACAGGAAGGCAUCCGUGACCAGGCCUUCGGUCUGCUUGCCACUCCCUGCUGAAACCAGGUGCUGUCACUGGCAGAGCUUCCAAGAGCGGGCCAGAGCUUCCAAAACCUGGCCAAAAGAAAACCCUCCAAAAAGUGAGGACUUAGGGAUGGAAUAGACCUGCUGAGUGCCUGUGAGGCCAGAGAUGUUUGCAUUUGGGCCUGGUCCCUCUGGGCUAAAUGUUGUUUUUCUCUGUGGCCUCUACAAUUUUAGUUUCUGAGGGUCUCUGGAGGUUGAUGAAUGGAAAGGUGCUCUGGGCAGUAACUCCUUCAGUUUCGUUGGCAGGCUCCUCUUGGCCCCAAUCCAAAAGGAAAGCAUUUAAAAAGCCGCUGCCUGGGUGGCACCCAGUGCUCCUUAAGGGCUGACGCCCGCAAGUGGCCUGGGCAUCUGGCUCUUCAUAGCUUCCCAGAUGACUCUAACCAUGAGGCCAAAGCCCAGAAGCCACCCAAGCUGACCAGCUCAGCUAUCAAGAAAGCCUACGCUGUUUCCUGCUGUGCUACCAUUGGCUGAAGUCCACCACGGACCAGGCUGGCCACUGAGCUCUGGACACACUGGUCCACAUUGGUCAAUCUUGGACUAGUGAUAAGGCAACACAGGCUCAGAGAGGUGAAGGGACUAAUUCAGGUCUAGACAGCCAAGUUCAGGUUUGAAUCCUGAGGCUUUGACUCCGGUGACCACUGUGUGCACAUCUGCACUCAGAUGCCGCAUGAUUAGAAACUUGACAGCAAUUCAAUUUUUUAAGACUGAAGUAACAAACAGACAGCAAGUCCACCUCACCCAAUCCACUAGGUGCAUUGCAUUCAACCUUCUCUUGUCCUUCAUUUCCAUUGGUUGUGGGGAUGGAACUGUGGCCAGGAAUGGUGAGACUUAGACUGGAGGGAAGAGGCUUGGAGAAAGAAGGAGGGCUUUGGGAUCUGCUUGCUUCCCUUCUUGGGUUCCUGCUGAUCCCAGGGGAGCCUUUGGAACAAGAGCAGCUUCACAGCUCUGAAUUACCUUACAAUAGAGUGCAUGUAAUUACAAAAGCACAAAAUAAACAAAAAGCCAACAAGUUAAAUCGCUAAGUGUUUCUUCUUUUCUUACCUUCACUUUAACAAGAAGUUAAGGCUGCAUCUGCUGUCAGAGUCAAACAUUAGUAAGAUGUGUUUAAGGAGAAUAAAAGGUCAAACCACAGCUGGGAGAAAUGUUUGCAAAAGACAACGUGAUAAAGGACUAGUGUCCAAAGUAUACGAAGAACUCGAAAAACUCAACAGUAAGAAAACAAACAACCCAAUUAAAAAACGGAACAAGGACUUGAACAGACACCUCACCAAGAAAGACAGACAUACGAUUGGCAAGUAAGCAAAUGGAGGCAGGCUCCACAGUAAUGUGUCAUCAUGGAAACAAAAAUUAAAGCUGCAAGAUACCACCGCUUGCCUAUCACAACAGCAAAACUCCAGAACACUGACAGCACCACACAUCCGCAAGGAUGUGGAGCAGCAGAGUCGACAUUCACCGCGCCACCAGGAGCGAGCAGCUUCCUCUGCCCUGUGCCCCCACUAUAUUUACUGCCUCACUACAGACCCAAGUGCAGUCCGUCCCAGGAUCCUGACCUGCAGCCACCCCGAAGAGCCACACCUCUCAAGUACUGGACCAACUCCUAGGAGUGGAUUGGGAUGAGGAAUCAGAGACUACAAUCAGCAGGGAGUUCUGGUGUUCCUAGAUGCCUUGACCUAGAACAAAUUUCUUCACUUCUUUAAAUCUGUGUUUCCUCUUCUGUGUAAUGAGGACAAUAAUCGUAUUGUUUCCUGUAUGGAGGACUAUUGCACAUUCAAUGGGAAAUGAAUGUCAAGCCCUGCCACAGUUAGCUUUUGAUAACUAUGAUUAUGGUGAGUAUGCUGAAGACUCACAGCCCCGCCCCACCAGGAUGCUUUGAUGACGUCCUAAGACCUUGUCCAGGGGAGAGCCCUGCCUCAAGUCCAGUCUGGACCCUAAUACUCCACACUGGCAGCAAGGCUAUCAUAGCCUGGCAUCCUUGCUGGCAUGCUUGUGUUUCUCCCGCUGACCUGAAGAACUCAACUCCUUCAUCGUAUCCCUCACCGUCUUACUGUAUUCCUUUUCCUUAUUUCUAUAGCCUAAAAGCUUGUUCCAAGGUGCCUUGCUCUCAUUGAAUGCCCAUUGAUGCCUCUGACCAGCACCUUGGCUCCAGCAGUGCUCUGAUUUUAGAGAGGAUGAAGACUAUAUCUGGUCCCCUGAGUGCCCCCAGCCCAGUUUCCAUGAAAGCUGGCUGUGUCUUUGGCCCCACCCUCUCUGUGCUGGAGUUUCACUGUGGAAACACUGCUGUUUGUGGCUGCAGGGCAGCUCACAGGUGGCCUCUACAAACUCUGGAACUGUGCCUGUGUAAGCAACUGCCCAAGAUGAGUUACAUGCAUGAAGCUGCAUUUUCUGAGCCUUCCCUCCUCCUCCCCCCACAUUUCCCCAGAAGCUCUCUCCAUUCUUCCUUCUAAACUUUCCUGUGUGUUGAUGGGACUGACACACAUUUCCAGCUCAAAGUAUUUUUUGUUUUUGUUUUCUUCUUCUUUUUAUCCUCCCCCAUUUAUGGUGGUGCAUUCCUUUAAUCCCAGCACUCAGAAAGCACAGGCAAGUGAUCUCUGUGAGUUCCAGGACAGUCUGGUUUAUAUAGUGAGUUCUAGGCCAGUCAGAGCUACACAGUGAGCCCAUAUCUAAAAACAAAACAAAACAAAACAAAAAGCAAAUAAACAAACUGUCCUAGUUUGAUAAGACAUUCUGACCAAAAGCAACUUGGGGAGGAAAAAAGGUUUGUUUGGCUUGCACUUCCACAUCACACUCCAUCGUUCAGGCUGUUAUGUUUUUGUUUAAAUUAGAUAUAAAGAAAAAGAGGAGGCACAAGGUGAGACAUAUUAACCAAUUUAUUAUGGGCCCAGCAGAGUAGAAGGAGUAAGAGAGAAGAGAAACAGAGUUAAUGGCUGAGCGCCAUGGCCGGUCGCCAUAGAGAGAGAGAGAGAGAGAGAGAGAGAGACAGAGAGAGAGAGAGAGAGAAGAGAAGCAGAAGCAAACAGAGAGAGGAGAAGAGCAGAGAGAGAGCGAAGAAGAAGCAGACAGAGAGCGAAGCAGGGAAGUUGGAACAGGCAAGCCAGAGCAGGAACUCAAGGCAGGAACCUGGAGGCAGGAACUGAUACAGAGGCCAUGGAGGAGUGCUGCUCACUGGUUUGCUCCCUAACUUUCUCAUACAACCCAGGACCACCUGCCCAGGGUAAUAACGCCUGCUAUGGCUGGGCCCUGUUGAGCAUCCCAUAUCGAUUGUUAAUCAAGACACCUACAGGCCCAUCCAAUUUCAGCUCAUUCUUCCCACAUGAUUCCAGCUUGCAUCAAGUUGUUUAAAUAACAAACAAAAACAAACAAAAAACCUAACCAGCAUACCAACAAUGUCAAGUUAUGAAAAAAAAAUUAAAAAACCAACUAACCAACACACACACACACACACACACACACACACACUAAACCUAAAAGAAUAUUUUUAAAUUUCCUAUCUCAAAAACUUGUUUUGAACUUUGGUUUUUUGAGAUAGGGUUUCUCUGUGUAGCUUUGGAGCCUAUCCUGUCACUCGCUCUAGAGACCAGGCUGGCCUCGAACUCACAGAGAUCCGCCUGCCUCUGCCUCCCCAGUACUGGGAUUAAAGGCGUGCGCCACCAACGCCUGGCGUUUUGAACUUUUAUUGAGGUUACAUAUAAGAUAUAUAAUAAGGAACACAGAUUUCAAGACUAUAGUCCAGUGAAAUGUUGCACUUCUCACACACAUGCAUAACUAUACAUAAACACACACAUGUACAUAUAAAAGCUUAUACAAUCUUACUUCUCAGGUUGUGAUACAAAGCAUUUUCAGUGUCCCACAAGUUCCCCCAUGCUCCUUCUCUGUUAAUGUAGCAUCCCCUCACACACAACUUUGAGAACUUUAUCAACACAGGUUGGUUUUUUUUUUCCCCCUGUUUUUAAAAACACCUGAAUGGGACCAGGUAAUACACACUCAGUCACAUGUGUGUGACUUAGUACAUGUCUAUGAAGGUCUUCAUGUUGUGUAUAUCAGCAAGUUUCAAUUGCUGUGUGUUAGUCUGGUGCAUGAAUAUUUCAUUUUUAAUUCUACUACUUAUAGGCAUUUGGGCAGUUUGCAUUUGGGAGCUGUUUGGAAUUAGCUUUCUACGGACAUUCACAUACAUGAUUCAUGUUCACACAUUCUCUUGGCUGUAUACCCAGCAAUAUAAUUGACAGCUCCCAGGGCACACAUAGGUUAGCCAUAGUAGAUAUUGCCAAAAUAUGUUCCAAAAUAUUGCACUAACUUAUACUCCUACCAGUAAGGUAUGAGUGGGUUAUUACUCAAUGGCCUUGUCAACACUUCCUCUUGUUACUCUUAAUUUUAGUCAUUUGGGUGGGUGUGUAAUAGUAUUUCAUUGUUAUUUUAAUUUGUAUCUCCUGAUGAAUAGUGUGUUAAGUGACUUUUAUAUGCCAUUGGCCACUUGGAGAUCUUGUUUAGCAAGGUGCCUGCUUGAAUGUUUCACUCACUGGAAAAGGGCAGAUUGUUUUAUCUGUGUUACUUGUCUCAGCUUUUACUACAUACCCCGGCACUAACCCAUCACCAGGUGUGAGCAUCUUUUCUCUGUGACAUGCUUCUUCCCUCUCCUAAUGCUCCUAGUAAAGACGAGGCUUUUUUCAUGUUAAUAUAGUCUAGUUGAUCUUUUUUUUUUUUUUUUUCAGUGCUUUCAUUAAAGCCAGAGACUUGUACCUGGUAGGCAAGAGCUUUACCGUGAGCCAUAACCUAUCCUCAUACUCGUCUUUACUUAAUUCUCUGUCUUAACUCUCCAGUAGCUUUUAUAAUUUUAUUUGUAUCUAUCCAAAGAUUUCAAUACCAUAUGUCUUCAUGAGAGAUUUUUGUUGUUGUUGAUCCAGUUCAUAACAGAGAGAUUCUUUCAAGUUGAAUGUGCUUAUCCUUCAGCACUGAAGGUUCUCAGCUCCUUAACCAUCAUCUCUCUUGUAGUCUCUCUCUUGGAGCUUUUGAGAGCCUUUUAUUAUAGAUUCCUGGUCUCUUACAUUUUCUUGUAUGCUUUUUAUCUCUCCUCUCUGUAAUCAGUACAUGUUGGAUGUUUUCCUCAGGAAAUCAUUUAUUUAUUUGUUUGGUUUGUAUUUUUAAGUGUGUGUGUGUGCAUGUGUGUGUAUGUGUGUGUGUUAUGUCUGUGUAUAUGUGUGUCCAUGCGUGCAUUCGUGCGUGCGUGUGUGCAUGGGUGUGUGUGUGUGUGUGUGUUGGGAAGUAGCCAUAGAAACAGAGAAUGAUUUAGACACAGAAGUCAAGAGAAAUUCUCUGGAGGAGCAGCAAAGACCACUGAUCACUGUGAAGGAGAAAAAAGAAUAGGGAUGAACAUGGGCUCCUGUCCUGAGUCCCCUGCGGGGACAGAGUUCUCAACCUGCAAGAGAGGAGAGAAUAUGGCAUGAAGUAAAGCAGAGGACUCUACUUCCUGACUGAAAAUCUGACAGGGACACAAGAGACAGAAUGAUACUGAUUACAGAGAAGACACUGGAGUGUGGACCUCAGCCUGGAGCUAAGAUUUUAUCUCUUUGCCUGCCCACCUGUCCUGCUCACCUGUCCAUCUGACCUGCUCUCUUGUCCUUCUGUCCUGCUUUGCCAUGUCAUUCUGGGGAUUAUAAAGCAGUUACGUUCUUGAUUAAGAAGUUCUUUUACUAUAGGAUAAUUUUCACUAAACUCUUUCUUUUCUAGAGUUCUCUUGACCCUUUCUUUCGAGGCACUUCCUGCCUCGAAUUCCCUCAGUGAUGGACGAUCACUUGGAAGUGUAGGAUGAAAUUAUCCCUUUCCUUCCCCAGGUGUUUUUGGUAUUUUAUCACAGCAACAAAGAGCCAACUAGGAUAUGUGGUAAAAUGUGAGUCAUAAAAAAUAUGAGACAGGGUGGGGAGAAGAGGGAACAGCCAAACAGGAAAGCAGAGAAGGCAGAGAAGAGGGAGGAAGCAGAGAGGUGCAGGACACAGGCCAAGAGAUAGGUUAUUUAAUGGUGGUACUACAGGACCCGUGACACUUGAGGCCCAGAAUGACACUGCUAUGGUCAUAGCCCACAUUGCAGCAUGUCUCUGCAGACUCUAGACACUGUAUGUCAGUCCAGGCUGCUACUGGCCAUCCUCCUUAACCUUACAUGUAUCUAGUUAUUACUGUUAACUUGCGGGCAGGGCAGUACAGUGACUUCAGGAUCCCUCAUCCAAAGGGGAUCCUUGGAUCUCAAGUGUAUGACUUAUCACUAACUUUCUCUUCCUUGGACUGAGAGCCCUUGGCUUCAUAUCUCCUCCAUGACAUUGAUCUUUGGUGGGGUCCUUCAUAAGAGACAAGCAGUGAACAUAAGUGGCAACCCUACCCCAGAAAUCACAGCGAUGACCCGGUUUCAGAUUUUUGCUUUGCUGUAGCACCCUCCAAGGUGAACUGAGUUGGUGAAUGAAAUGAAUGCCAACAUGACUGUCAGAGAAAGUGGCUAUUGGAGUGAAGGUAGGACAGGUCUCUUGGAGUCAACAACAGCUUGUGUGACUCAGUCCUUGAGCAGAAGCAGUGUUGAAAGCCCAGCUGGUAGCCAGAAUCCUUAGUUACAGCGGAGCUGCAAAAACAACAGAGAACAACAGACAGCUGACACCCCGCCUAGGUUGCUGGCCACAAAGGUCACCAUUCAGGGUUCAGGGGAGAAAGCCUCAAUGUGAACCCUCUGGAGAGCAAUCUCCUUUCUGGGAAGCUUUGCAUUCUUUGGGGUCCAGAUGGAAGUGCUGGAACCACUCCAAGAGUCUCCCCAAAUAGUGUUUGGGUGAAAUGAAUGCAUAGAAAGUUCUAGGAAGGGCCUUGCACAUCUUCCCUACUUCCCUGGUGGGCUCUAAAGUAUUCUCAAUAGAAACUGUGGGGGCAGAAUAGCAAGGAAGAGGGGGUUAGGAUUUUGUUGAAUCCUCUCCACCAAGGGAGGGAUGCAUUUGUUUAAAUUGAUAUUUGUGAGUCUGGAGAGAUGGCUCAGUCCUCUUCUAGAGGACCUGGGUUUGAUUCCUAGCAUUAAAAUAGUGGCUCACAACUGUCUUAACCCUAGUUACAGGGGAUUGAAGGCUCUCUCCUGGCCUGCAGGAGCAUCAGAUACAUACAUGGCUUGUACAUGACAGGCUAAACACCUAAACACAUAAAAUGAUUCAAAACACUAAAUUUCCACUUGUUCUUUAAGAACUUGCUAAAGAUCCAUCUCCUCCAGUCUGUUUCCUCUGGACUUCUGAUCCUCCCUCCUGUCUCAUGAUGCCCUCUUCUGCAUUCCCGAAGCCUGUGCACAAUAUCUAUUACCACUCAAACCACUCUGUGCUGUGCUUGGCGGUUCUAUUUUUACUCUUUGCCACCUAACCAUCAGUAUCCCUCGGCAGGUCUUACUAGUUGACUUUCUGCUCCAGCUUCUAUGAAGUGGUCCAGCACUCGGGAGUAACAAAUAAAAAUUGAACUGAAUCGUUCUUAGAAACGUUGGGGUGGCUUAUUUUGGAAUUGUGAAAAUUGAUUAUCCUAAAAGUCUCUGCAGGUAAGAAUCAUUUGUAUGUAUGGAUCACAUGUGUAAUUUAAUGUCCCCGACACCUUGUCCAUCAUUGCUGGAACCUCACAAGCUGUGCAGGCAUUUGUGAAGCUAGCCAGGAAUCCCAGGCACGAGUGAGGAGAAAGCCUGCCCUGCAUCUGCCCGUGCACCUGGCUUGCAGAUAUCUCCCACAAAUUAGACAUGGACUAUGUUGCUUAAUUCUUAUCAAUUUGACACACUUGGGAAGAAAGAGUCUCAACUGAGAAAUUGCCUCCAACAAAUUAGCCUGUAGGCAACUCUGCUGGGCAGUUUCUUGAUUGGUAACUGAUGGGGAAGAGCCCUAUCGUUUGUAGAAAGAGCUACUGCUGGCCAAGUGGCCCUGGGUGGAAUGAGCAAGCAAGCUGAGUGAGCUGUGGAAGGCAAGCUAGCAAGCAGUACUCCUCCAUUGCCUAUGCUUCAGUUUCUGCUUCCAGGUUCCGGCCUUGACUUCCUGCUGUGACUUCCCGUCACGGUGGACUAUUAACUGUAAGAUGAAAUAAACCCUUCCUUCCCUAGGUUGCUUUUGGCCAUGGUGUAUAUCGCAUCAAUAGAAAGCAACCAGGACCAGAGCUCUUCAUUCUUGAAAUGUUUUCUCAUUGUGAAUUUCCUUCUGGACAGCUCCCCUCUGGGAUUCUAGAAUUAUCUAAACAGAACACCAAGGGGCCUGAAAUUGCCAUGAAAUAGAAGAACUUGAGAAAUUUUACCAACACCUUCUUCCUCUCAGAACUGCAAGGCAUAGAGUCCUGGCAGAGGUGUUCACUGUGGGCUCUUUGUUGCCAAUACUGGGCAAGGCACCCCCCUCAGCAAGUGAUGGCUGGUACUGUCUGUUGCACCCUCUUUCUUAUCAUUUUAGAAUUGGGGAGAAGAGCUCACAUGUCACACUUAUCUGCAGUUAACAGCUUGCCCUGGAGGCAAGGACUGGGCUGGGCUAAUACUUAGAGGAGGACGGGCAGCCUGAUGAGUAGACACCACAGAGAGAAGGGCAGGGUCAGGGAUGCACUACCUCCUGCCUUGUGAUCUUACUCAGCAUCUUGAUUGUUCAGAGUUGCUUUCAAAGCUCCUGGUUCAUGUGUCCUACCUGCCAAUGCCCUUCCUGCAAAGCCAUGGGGCAGGACAGCCUUGGUUCCACAAGGACUUUUUUUCUCUUUGAAGACAACAAGGGACUGGUAACAUAAAUGAAUAAUAUAAUAAGCCAGGCAUAGGCAGGCUGGCAAAUUUGGACUUUAGACCCUCAAAGCAUCACCCAUGAGAAGAACCAAGCCAAUCUCUAGCAGCACAUCCCAGGAAAGGAGUAGCAGAGAGAUUUCCCCUCAGAGGAACAAUGCAGCUCUGUUCUGCUUGUGUGAUCACCACACAAGUCAACUAAUACCACUGGGGACACAUUUUUUUUUUUACCUUAUUACUAUCAGGAGAAAACAAUAACUGUGCUCGUCAGCUGUGAGCACAGCUGUAAUUUCAGCGUGUAAUUUCUCUGUAAACUCGGCCUCUAAAACGUGCUCUAUAUGAUACCAUAUGCAUUUCUUACAUAUUCUGAGAAUUCUGCAACUGGCAAGAAGGUAAGAGGAGACCUGGGAGGCAGUAAGCAAGCCUUGGUUCCAUUCAUGAACAUGCAGAUCAGCUGGGAGGAAAGAGAGCGGAAAGUAUAGCUUUUCCACUAACCCUCUGCUCACUGUGGGACUAAAAAAUGUACUCAUAUACCUCUGCAAGGAGAAAGAAGACUGAGCUGCACGCUAUAAAUGUAUUUGACCAAUUGUGACAUUUUAAAAAUAAGGUUUUAACUGGUAAAAAAAACAAGCCAGGCAUAGGAAUAGGAAUAGGAAUAGGAAUAGGAAUAGGAAUAGGAAUAGGAAUAGGAAUAGGAAUAGGAAUAGGAAUAGGAAUAGGAAUAGGAAUAGGAAUAGGCUGCCACACAUCCAGUUAAAUCUGUAUUUCAAAUAAACAAAUAGUUAUUUUUUAACAUACUUAUGUCUCAACUAUUGUCUAGGAUAUACUUAAGCUAAAUAUUAUUAUUAUAUAAGUCUAUAUAACUGUACACUUAAAAAUAGUUAAGGUGAGCCAGUGUGAUAGUUCAGCAGGUAAAGACUCUUGUUGCCAAACCUGACAACUUGAGAUUGAUCCCUGAAACCACAUGGUAGAGAGACAAUCAACUCCUGAAAGUUGUCCUCUGACCUCUGCACAGAUGCUGUGCCACACCUGCAUAUGCACACACAGACACACACAGACACAGACACACACACACACACACACACACACACACACACACACACACACGUAUAUAUAAUGUAUAUAUAUGUAUAUUUAUAAUGAAUUCUAAUUAAAAGCAGUUAGGAUGGUUUUAUUUUUUUCUUUCUCUCCAUUUUUAUUUAAAUUAGAAACAAGAUUAUUUUACAUGCCAAUCCCAGUUCCCUCUGCCUCUCCUUCUCCCCUGCCCUCUCCCCUGCCCCCCCACCCCAACUAACACCCUACCUAUCACAUACCCUUUCUGCUCUCCAGGGAUGGUGAGGCCUUCUGUAGGGGUCUUCAGAGUCUGUCAUAUCCUUUGGGAUAGGGCCUAGGCCCACUCCCUGUGUCUAGACUCAGGGAGUAUCUCUUUAUAUGGAAUGGGCUCCCAAAUUCUAUUCCUCUGCUAGGGAUAAGUACUGAUCUACUACAAGAGGCCCCGUAGAUUUCCGAGGUCUCCUCACUGACACCCACAUUCAUGGGGUCUGGAUCAGUCCUGUGCUGGUUUCCCAGCUAUCAGUCUGGAACCAAGAGUUCCCCCUUGUUCAGGUCAGCUGUUUCUGUGGGUUUCACCAGCCUGGUUUUGAUUCCUUUGCUCAUCAGUCCUCCUUCUCUGCAACUGGAUUCCAGUUCAGUUCAGUGUUUAGCUGUGGCUGUCUGCUUCUACUUACCCCAGCUGCUGGAUGAAGGCUAUAGGAUGGCAUAUAAAUCAGUCAUCAAUCUCAUUAUCAAGGGAGGGCAUUUAAGGUAGCCUCUCCUCUGUUGCUUAGAAUGUUAGUUGUAUCAUCAUUGUAGAUCUACAGACAUUUCCCUAGUGCCUGAAUUUCUCUUUAAACCUAUAAUGGCUCCCUGUAUUAUGGUAUCUCUUAUCUUGCUCUCCUCUUUCCCCCAACUCAAACUUCCUGCUCCCUCAUGUCCUCCUCACCCCUCCUCUUCUCCCUUUCUCAUUCUCCAGCUCUCUCUUUCCUCCCCUCAUGCUCCCAAUUUGCUCAGGAGAUCUUGUCCCUUUCCCCUUCUCCAGGGGACCAUGUAUGUCUCUCUUAGGGGCCUCCUGUUUCCUAGCUUCUCUGGCAGUGUGGAUUGUGGGCUGGUAAUCCUUUGCUCUAUGUCUAAAAUCCAUAUAUGAGUGAGUACAUACCAUGUUUGUCUUUUUGUGACUGGGUUACCUCACUCAGAAUGGUUUCUUCUAAUUCCAUCCAUUUACCUGUGAAUUUCAAGAUUCCAUUGUUUUUUCCCCCACUGAGUAGUACUCCAUUGUGUAAAUGUACCACAUUUUCUCUAUCCAUUCUUCAGUUUAGGGACAUCUAGGUUGCUUCCAGGUUCUGGCUAUUACAAAUAAUGCUGCUAUGAACAUCGUUGAGCAGAUGUCCUUGUUGCAUGAAUGUGCUUCUUUGGGGUAUAUGCCUAGGAGUGGAAUUGCUGGAUCUUGUGGUAGAUUCAUUCCCAUUUUCCUGAGGAAUCGCCAUACUGAUUUCCAAAGUGGCUGUACGAGUUGGCACUCCCAUCAGCUGUGGAGGAGUGUUCCCCUUUCUCCACAUCCUCUCCAGCACAAACUGUAAUUGGUGUUUUUGAUUUUGGCCAAUCUGACAGCAGUAAGAUGGUAUCUCAGAGUUGUUUUGAUUUGCAUUUCCCUGAUGGCUAAGGAUAUUGAACACUUUCUUAUGUGCCUUUCAGCCAUUUUAGAUUCCUCUAUUGAGAAUUGUCUAUUUAGUUCUGUACCCACUUUUUAAUUGGAUUAUUUGGUGUUUUGGAGACUAGCUUCUUGAAUUCUUUGCAAAUUUUGAAGAUCAACCCUCUGUCAAAUGUGGGGUUGGUGAAUAUCUUUUCCCAUUCUGUGGACUGCCGUUUUAUCUUGCUGACUGUGUCCUUUGCCUUACAAAAGCUUCUCAGUUUCAGGAGGUCUUAUUUAUUAAUUAGGAUGGUUUUUAAAAACUUCGUGUUACAUCUGAGAGACUAUGGUAACUGGGUGCCCUGCAUUUCUGUGUGCUAACCCGGACCCUGUCAAAGGGAAGGCAGGACAUCCCCUCCUACUCUGCCUUUCAUGCCAGUAUUAUACACAUAGCCUGAAGGACUCUUCUGGAUUUGGAAUUGGAAUCAGGCUUCUACUGAGAAAGGACGAGCCCCAGAGUCUAGGAGGAAGAAGAGAUUCUGGAUCCAGAGCCUGGGAAGCCACAAACCCUGAGGAGGGGCCCACUGGGGUGCCUCAUGGGCCCACAGAGGCUGCCCUCCAGGGAGGGAAGACAGACUGAAUCCCAGGUGCUGACAGAUCCUGCAGGAUGGGCCCUGGCAGAAGCCAGGAAUCAAUGACCUGGAUAUAGCUGUCACCACCUCCUUGCCUCUUGGCAGUUACACCUGGCAGUCUUAAGACUGCAAAGCCAUGCUUAGGUGCUCUUGAAACUGAAGCAAACGUCAGGUACACAGAAAAAUCUGUGCUUAGUCAAAAUACCAGAGUGAGCAAUUAUGUUAUCUGUUGACACGAGGAUAGGCCAUAGGCUUUCUUUAGUUAGUGAACUCCCCUCAUGCAUUUAGAACAGGAUUCUAUUUAGAGAAGGAAGAAUAACAGGAUUGUCACAGCACCAUGAGGAAGGGCAGGGAUGGUGAAAGCAAGUUUGUCUUCUGUGAGGGGAAGGGCUGGAGACAUCUGCAGGGAACUAGGAUGGCUCUGUGUGUGUGUGUGUAUGUGUGUGUGUGUGUGUGUGUGUGUGUGAGAGAGAGAGAGAGAGAGAGAGAGAGAGAGAGAGAGUGUAAGUGAGUGUGUCAGCCAUCCCACUCCUUUCUGGAUCUUCAGAGCCAGUCUCUGUAUCACAGUAACACACAGUCACAUUGUGAGUGUGAGGUAAGGCUGCUGUGAGCUUCAUGUUUGGAUAAGGCAUGCCUGUGUACUGGAACCCUGGUCCCUGUGUAAGGUGGCAAUGUGUGGGAACUCCAAGGGAUGAGUCUAGGAAAUAGCAGUCAGGCCGUGAUCUGUGAUAUUGUAGCACAGAUAAAAAAAGAAAGACCUGUUUAGGGGGCUGACAGGUUAAUACUUGUGGCCAAGCCGCAAUUGUUGUCAGGGUUAGCUACAUUGUAGAUAUGUAUGAAACACACUUACCUUUAGGUUGCUCAUUUAUGAAAUAUUAAAAAUCUCUUACAUCUGUAAGUAAACAUCUUAUUUCAAUGAAGUCUUUAUCCAACACACAGUAGCUGUAUCUAGCGCACAGUAGGUGUUUAGCAUAUUGGUUUCUUUUUCUUCUCUGGGACAUAACAUCUGAAAGAAGCGAUUUCUUUCUUUCUGAGACAGGGUUUCUCUGUGUAACAGUCCUGGCUGUCCUGGAACUUGCUUUGUAGACAAGGCUGGCCUCGAACUCACAGAGAUCCACCUGGCGUCUGCUUCCCAAGUGCUGGGAUUAAAGGCAUGCACCACCACCACCUGGCCAACAGAAGCAAUUAAAGGGAGAAAGAUUUACUUUGACUGAUGUCAUGGUUUUAUCCCUCAUGGUUGCAAGAGAUGGGAGCAGAACUACUUAUAGGACACUGGACCAGAAACAGGAGAAAGGGACCAGACACAAGUCACGUGGUCCUUCCCUUGUGACACACCUCCACCAGCCAGGCCUCUCAACUUCCCAAAACAGCACCAGCAGCUGGGGACCAGAUUCAAAUAUGGGAGCCUGUGAGGACCACUUCAGAUUAGAACCAUAACCUAGUGUUUGUUGAAUGACUAAAGUAAAUGAAAAUUGGGAAUUCAUAGUAUAAAAUAAGACAGAGAUUAAGUACUCAUAAGGAAAAACAAACAAACAAAGAAACAAACAAAAAACUGGUCAACAUCCAUCCCUAGGGAUGUUAUUUUUUCUCCUUUGAAGUUUGGGUUUUCAUUUCCUGACAUGUUCAACUAUGGUAAAAAAUAUUAAAUAGUAGGUUUUUUAAAGAUUUUAUUUAUUUAUUAUGUAUACAACAUUCUGCUUCCAUGUAUAUCUGGACACCAGAAGAAGGCACCAGAUCUCAUAACAGAUGGUUGUGAGCCACCAUGUGGUUGCUGGGAAUUGAACUCAGGACCUCUGGAAGAGCAGCCGGUGCUCUUAACCUCUGCGCCAUCUCUCCAGCCCUAAAUAGUAGAUUAUAGAAACAAAAUAUUCAUACAUUUCAGAUUGCAUUCUGUACUGAAUAAUGGGAUGAGGUCUUGUACCAGCCUACUGUCCUGCACAGGAUGUGAAUGGCCCCUUGUCAGUGUGCCCAUGCUGCAAGUGCCACCUGCCUGCUAGCCACUUGGCACACGCCUCCAUCAGCUAGAUGGCCUGGUCUCUGGGUACCUGUGCUCAGGGCAUUCUUAAUGUACCCCGUGACGACCCAGAGUGCAUAACUAAUGUUGCCAGUGACUCAGAUCUGCCAAAGAGAGCCUGGGAAGUGAAAAUGCUAAGGCACAAUAAGAUUGUAAACAAACAAAUAGUUCUAGCCAGGUUUCAUUGUGAGACUCUGGCUACCUUGCACUGUCGACCAGGCUGGCCUUGAACUCAGAGAUCUGCCUGCCCCUGCCUCCUGAGUGCUGAGAUUAAAGACAUUUGCUACCAAGUCCAGAAUCAUAAGAUAUUGAGAGAGAGAGAGAGAGAGAGAGAGAGAGAGAGAGAGAGAGAGAGAGUCCAUGUAACUAUUGCUUUAUUGUUUUCUUAGUUUCAUUUCUUUUAUAAUAAGAUACCCUGGGGAAAAGCAGCUCUGGGGAGAAAGAGGUUUAUUUCAGCUCAUAGGUCACAGCCCAUCGUUGUGGGAAAGUCAAGGCAAACACUUCAGCUAGUCACAGCACAUCCACAUCAGAAGCAGAGGAAAUGUUCACAUGCUCACUUGCUGUGCCCAGUUCUGUUUCUCCACUCUUACACAGUUCUGGACCCCCUGCCUAGGGAAUGGUACCAUCAACACUGGGCUUAGUGUUUCCUCCUCAAUUAACUUAAUUAAGACGACCCUGUGCAGACAUGCCCACAUGUGACCCAAUACAAACAAUCCUUCCUGGAGCCUCUUCCAGGUGACUCAAGGAUGCAUCAAGUUGACAUCUCACUAAAUAUGACAAUUGUCAUCAUCCUUUUACUUUACUAGUUAUUUUUUUACCCCAGUAUGUACUUUCAUGGGAAAACGGCAUACAGAGGGUUGAGACCCUCUGUGGUUCUAGCCAUCUACUGGGACCAUGCCCCUGAGAACAAAGAGAACCACUGUAGUUUCAGGAAAAUCAUAGUCCUGGGUUUCACAUCCUUUCAAAUCAAAAUGCACUGAUCAGCACUGAGCUAAACCAGCUGCCCCUCCUCCCAGAAGUCAGAGAAGCCGAAUCACUGUGUGUGUGUGUGUGUGUGUGUGUGUGUGUGUGUGUGUGUGUGUGUGUGUGUGUGUUGGGGUUGGGGGACAAGUUCAAGAAAGUGAUUGCAAUGAAAGCUCCCAGCCCCGUUGCCAGCUGUCUCAUGACCCCAUGCCUACAGUGGCACCAGCUCUCCUGUGGGCAGCCUGGUUCUGCAGCUGGCUUCCUGCCCUGCUCUCCCUGAAGCAGGCUCUCACAGGGAUUAUUGCCGGGCAGCUUUCUCCCUUCCUGGAUGUGAGAGCCACUGCCGGCCCUCUGCACUCUCUUGGGAAGGCCCCACCCAACCUGUAGAGUUCCACAAAGCUUUCUGGAGUGGAGCCUAGGGAAACCGAGGUAGUGACUGACCCCAGGACUGACCUCUGGAGGCUGGGCCCUGCAAGUAGAUCCCUCUGCUUUCCCUGACACAGCAGCAACUUUUGGCCCAUCCAGCCCAAAGAAGGUAUUGCUGAUGCCGGGUAGAACCCCUGACCUGGACCCCUCUAAGACAAACAUGCAUCCAGUCAAGACCUGGGCCAAAAGGAAGACACACAUAGGUGAUCACAGAAGACCUUGACCGUGUUUAUUUGCAGGCAGGGGAUGACACUGGAAACCCCGAGAUGCAGAAGGUACUUGCUACUUAGGCUGAUGACACCACGGCGAUUUGGAUGAGACUAUAAUCAUUAGUACAUCUUACUGCUUCACAGGGCGAUGAGAUAGGAAACAGAACCCUGCUCAAUGGCUUUCAGCUGUACCUGGGCUCUUGUUUAUAGGUGCGCGUGUGCGUUUUCUCAAGCUUAAACUUUCAGAGUUAUGUAACCCUUCCCCUUGGCUAGCCACCAGACUUCCAGAUUAGCUGGAGGUUUCCUGUGCAAGUUGGGAGUUGGCAUGGGCAGAGCCAUGUGACCGUGGUGCUUCCUGGGUCUGGUAGGGGCUGCCCUGUAAGGAAGGGCCUGUCUGUGUUGUGGGUCAGAAGAUAAUAUCUAGCAGGCAGAGUAUGAUUCCUGACCCAGAAGAAUUCAGACCAGCAGUCAUUGUCAGUUCUCAAGCUGGAGCCAUCUAAAGUUAGAUGAGAAAAAAAAAAAAAAAAAAAAAAAAAAAAAAGACCCAUGCAUUGGUAGGAACUACUUAAAAGAAAAUAAAACAUUCCAGUUAUUCAAGGUCUCAUGUAAAUGGUGGUUCAACACUGUCUGGACAGGAGCUCUGUGGUUCCUGGAAGCAGUGUGUGGUAGAGCUCAGGUCCCGAAGGCCUCCCCUUCCUGUUGUCUAUCUCCUUCUAGCCACUGAUGAAUACCAGUGCUCUGGCUCCUUCUGUUGGGGUUUUGAUAUGGUGAGAGGGAGAUGAUGUGUCCACCAGACAUUCCAAACCUCUGUGUGUGGUGAUUCAUUUUACAUGGCGUCUUGGCCAAGGUGUCCAGAUGUUUGGUUUAAGCUCAUUCUGGGUGUGUCUAUAAAGAUAAAUUUGGGCUGUUUUAUUUCAUUUUGUUUGGGAUGAUACUAACAUUUAAAUUGUUGGACUUGAUGUAAAACUCUGUUUGUUGUUUAUAGCAUGGGUGGGUCUCUUCCAAUCAGUUGCAGGCUUUAGCAGAACAAAGCUCUAAGGAGGAACUCUGCCUGAAGACUGCUUUGGAGUUGUGUGACUUUUCCUGGGGAAAUGUGAACCAAUGUCUAUUAAUUUAGAUAGGGCACUGACAACUGACCAAAACAAUGCUUCCACUGAAGUCCAGCUUGGAGUUUGUUAUCGUUACUUACAGGAGUAUUGGUAAGGCGCUACUUACUGAAGCAUGGCUGACUCAAAGGCAUCUGCACCACCGAAAAGCUCCCCACAACACAAGACAUAGCCCUGGAGCUCCCUGCCCAACUUCUCCCCAGCAAUGACUGCUUAUAUAACCUUAUCUUUUAAGUUUCAGGCACAUUCUGAGAAUUUUGAGUUGUUUGCUUCCUCAACCUUGUAAGUUUUGUUAAUUUCCUGAGUCUGAAGGAGCCUCCCUUCUGAAUGGGAAGUUUCAAUUGGAAGGAAAUUACUAUACAGCAGGGCUCUGACUGAAACUCUUCCCAGGGUAUCCAGCUCCCACCCACCCCGAAGGCUUUGGACUUGAACCUCCUCCAUCAUCUGAGCUAACAAGAUAUUUAUUUAUAAAUAUUCAUAACCUAAUAGAUAUGUAUGUAUAAAUGUCUAUACACAUCUGAUCCAACACACACACACACACACACACACACACACACACACACACACACACACAUUCAAGUACCCUGAUGAAGGUGAACUAUCACGUUUCCUCUAAAACACAGAUUAGCUUGGCCUUCCAGCUUCCCAGGAACCUCUCUGACUCCUUUCCCUAAAAUUCCCAGUGAAAGGCUGUAGAACCACAAAACACCAGCCAGGCAAGUUCCUCCAAACACAGAGGUCCAUUAGGCAUUCUUGCUUCUUUGCCUUCUUAGAGUACAGAGAAAGACAGCCCCAGCACAUGGGGAGCACAGGAAUUUUGCAAUCCAAGGGAAACAUCAAGUGCAGGACUUUCCCUGCCACUCUGAUAGUAUCCCCUUUCCCUAUUUAUACUGAGAACUCAACCUGGACCCUCACACAUGUCAGGUGAGAGUUGAGCCACUGAGCCAAUCCCCAGGCCCAUAGGGUCCCAUUAAAAGUGCCACUCACAGCUGGGCAGUUGUGGCACCCACCUUUAAUUCCAUUAUUUAGGAGGCAGAGGCAGAAGGAUCCCUGAGAGUUUGAGGCCAGCCUGGUCUACAGAUCGAGUUCCAGGACAGGCUCCAAAGCUACAGAGAAACAAGUGCCACUCACUUAAAGGUUUCAGGUUGGGUUCUAGUCUUUGCAAAAUCUUGCCCACUUCUGAUUUGUCCUAAUCCAAAGUUGAAGCCUCCCAGCGGUCCAGUGAGAACCCAGGAUCUUCACACAGCUCUCCAACAUCAAGACCCAAUGAGGCUGUCAGUGACUCUGCUCCUGCCCCCAACUGCCACUUACUACUAAGCCUCCCUACCUUCAAGGUUUAUACUGCUUAAAAUGUCACAAACAUCUGCAGGUGUCUAUGUCUACAUGCGGGUAUGUGAGCAUGCAGCCAGAGACUUUGGGUCCCCUGGAGCUGGAGUUACAGUUGUGAGCCACCUGAUGUCGAUGUCAAGAACUAAACUCAGGUCCUCUGGAAGAGCAGCACAAACUCUUAACCGCUGAGUCAUCCCUUCAGGCUCUAGUUAUUUUUUAUUUUUUAUUUAAUUUAAUUAAAAAUAUUUUGGGUGUGUAUGUAUGCAUGUGCUUGUGUGUGUGAGCACCUGCUUGCUUCAGGUUUUAUAAAGGUUUUAUAAAGAUCAGAGGUCAACUUUCAGGGGUCAGUUCUCAUAACCCACCUUGUUGGAGGCAGAAACUCUUCUGUUUGUGAACUGUAGUGACUACUUCAGGCUAACUGGCCAUUGAGCUUUCAGAGGGGGUGGUUCCCCUGUCUCAGCCCCCCACCUCACCAUAGGAGUGCCGGGUCACACAUGCGUGCUACUGAAUCCAGCUGGUACAUGUGGGUUCUAAGGAUCCAAAACUCUUACCCACGAGCCACCUUCCUAGCCGCCAAAUUUUCAACAAUGAUUUCCCACACAUUUACUAGCCGAUGUCCCACACGUCUCUGUCAGUAAAAACCUUUCUUCUCCUGUUUGCUGCAUUGUUAAUUCAUCCACUUCUGGAGUAUGAACUCACAGAUUUUUUUUUAAAUUGUGAAACAAAUGUUUAUUGGAAUUUUUCAAAUUAGUUGUACAAUUAACUCAUGGUAAGUUACCGGGCAGAUUUUAUAUUAUUUCUUUAAGACUACCGUUUCUCAGUGACUUCAAACUUUAAGUUUUCAAAUUUGAAGGUAGGAGAAGCUCUGCUCAGCUCUUGCUACUACUCUGGGGCAGUAGCAGCAGGUUCCCUAAUGUCUGGCUUUGAUACGGACUCUCUUACCCCAUCAGUGAUGAGUUUCUCUACAGGAACAAUUUCCUUAUUAAAUACUACUGCCAUCACACAAAUGUUCCUCAACAAGUGCUCAGAGACAGCCCAGCAAAGGACAGUGGAGAGCCCUCAGAGCCUCAGAAGACCAGUGUCCUGUGGUGCUUGCACUGAGUCCUGAUCUGCCACAGGUGCCACCACAAUUCUAGACAUGUUUUUUCAAUGGCUUAGAAUUCACUUCUUCCCUCCCCAUGUUGGUGCUUAAGUUGCUCCAGGACUGGCUGGUAGAAGCCCCCUCCUCUGUUCUUGUACUUGCCCCCUAUCAUGUUUAAAGUUCUCACUCAGUGUAUGACAAAACAACAUUUAGCCAAAGAAAGGAAAAAAAGAGAAAGCCAUGGGAGAGGUAGAGAGAGACAAAGAGGGGCUAUGUGAGGAGAUUGACAGCACAGGGGCAGACUAGGGGCCUUCUGUGAGAAGCGGCCCGUCCACCAUGACUUAAAGGCCAGAGUGCUGCAUAUGAGAGGCAUUGGUGGCUCCUGCACUCUGACACCAUUCUUGACAGUUAUAAAUGAUGCAGGCACAACCCAAGAGGGACUGGGGAGUGGAGAGGGGAAUGAUCCUCAGUUUUUGGCAUCCAUUCAAGCAUCUAGACACAACUUUAUUUGAAAUGAUUCCAUAUUUUUCAAUUGUAUAUACAUGUCUGUAUAUAGUAUACACAUAAAAAUAUAUGCAUAUAAUAUAUAUUAUACAAGUAUAUCACACACACAUAUAUUUGGUCUAAUGUAUAUUUUCAUUCUUCGUAUGCCCUCCACCCCCAGCUCUGCUCGACUUUUUACUGUGUUGACCUUGUUUUGGCUAGCCUCUUCUCCCAAGGAAGCAAGAGUCCCUCCUGAGCAAUUCUAUAUUAACCAACAAAAAGAAGCCUCUUUGCCAUGGCUGGGACAAAAGUCCUUCAGUGUCUGUGACUAGCUCAGAGCCUUUCUACACCUGGUUGGGUAGCACUCUCCUGAGCCAGGCCUGGGCUAUGAACUCUCCUGUAGAACAGGAAGUGUGGGUGAAGCCUGCCAAAACACACAGGCUGGAAGCACAGAGAUGGCCAGCUCACCCAAGAACUCUGGAGUGCACUUACCACAAUGAGAAAGGAAAAUUUGGAAACCUGACUGAAAAAAUCUCAUGCAUUGUGUGGGGAACACCGGGCAUGAUGACUGUGAGAUUGGCUGAUAAACCAAGGUGUAGCCAUUUUGUCAGGACAGCCCUUCCUCCCUCUGCACAAGACCCCUUAUAAGAAAGAAGCCCCUGAAGCACCCUUGGAGAUUGAAGCCCCUGUCCAUCUGUCCUUGCUGCUGGCCUGGGGACAGAUGACAGAACUGCCAGAGAGAGGAUGAAAAUAGGUCCAGCCCUUCUUCCUAAGGAAGCUUUCCAUCAAGACGGGCUCCUGUUUCAUCAUUUUCUCCUCUGCCUGGCAGGUCCCACAGGGACGUGUCUGUCACAGUGCUGUGUUACGUCAUGUCAGAUGGCAAUCGAAGGAGCUGUUAACUUAAGCUGACAGAGAGCUGUGGCAAUCUGCUUAUCUGGCUGCCACCCUCACUGAGUAAAGGGCCAUUAUCAGAAUUAUUCACACAGUGUUACAGCAGCUGCAAGUCUACAUUACAUCACCCUCACUUUAGUCACUCAGCACAAAUGGGACCUCAAAGGAGACUGCCCCCCCCUCCAUGAGAGGCCACCCUUCCCCUACACACCCAACAAGAAUGUGACAUCACAUUAGGUCAACCUCCAGUGUGCCUUUCUGUGCCCAGGAUCUACCUUCUGUGUUCCUUCCACAGGUGUGAGCAGUCACACAUGAGACCCCUGUUGAGAUGCCUUCCAAUUAGACCUGUUCUUGGAAUGGUCCUUCCAAUGCUGGUGUUCAGUGGUCCAAAGCUAUUCCACUGACCUGUAAACUUCAGACUGGUCUUCCACAAGUGCUGUGUGUUUCACACAAGGAUUGCAAAGGAGAAAACACAAUGUUCUUAGGUCGAGGCUCUUUCAAGAGUCCAUAGACCCUCCCCAGCUUGCUCACAUGAAGCCAACCAUGAUCUCCACCCUGGACACACCCCUCCUACGCCUCCUCCUCCAACAAGCCUCCACCUGCAAGGCAAACACACUCAAAGUUCACCCGACACACGCACAUUCCCAUGCAAACCCAACAAAAUUGAUGGCAGAAACUGUGGGAAAGAGGCAUGAAGAGAGAAUGUGGUUAACAAGACAUCCUUCUAUGCUGGAUCUGUAGAGCACUGAGGAAGAAGAGAAGAAAAUGAAGGUGAAAUGGGUGUGCAGAGAGGGCAAGAAGACAGCUCCAUGGCCUACAGCAGCAGCAUGGGUAGUUUUCUUCACUCUCUUUUUCCUAGGCCAUGGAUGCACUCAUUUAAUCCAUUAGUAUUUGUUGAGAAUACCAUCUGUACCAGGCACUAUGCCAAAUGCUGACAAACAGCGCAUAGGCUUGCCUAAGGAGUUCCACAAUCUGUGCCAUCGACAUCCUGGUACCGUCUACACCAAGCAGUUCACUCCCCACAGUGACACCAGCUUCCUGGCAGAGGCCUGUCCUGGCCAAAGUAGGGUUCUGAAAAUUUAGGAAUGGUUCGGCAUGUACUGAUUCAGAAACACAGUUGGAAGACAACUAGAUGAGGUAGACGAGGAAGGUGAGAUGGAGUCAGCCAAAAGGCUUCUUGGGAAAAUCUUGAAAUAGGAGGACCCAGGGUCUGAUUCUGGGGGUCAAGGCAAGGCAUAUGCAGGAGGCUGGGAGAAGCAGGCAGUACCACACUUGGAAGGACAUAGGGGCAGAUAGCAGCUCUUUACCUUACUCUAAAGUGUGUCAUAUUUCCAUGAAGAAGAAACCUAAAAAACACCAAGAUUUUUAUGUUUUAUUUUUAUGUAUAUGAGUUUUGCCUGCAUGUAUAUGCACCACGUGCCUGCCUGGCACCUGUGGAAGUGGAGAUGGGUGAUCGUGAGCCACUAUGUAGUGCUGAGAGUUGAACCUGGGUCCUCUACAAAAGCAACAAGUAUGCUUAACUGCUGAGCCAUCUCCAGCAACAGCAGCUUUUAGCACAGUCAUAGCUUAGAUUAGCCAUAGUGAUAGUAAGAUACCUACCUGGUGGCUGAGAAAAGGAGCAGGGGUUUCUUUCAGUAAGUUGCAAGAUCAGUGACAAAGGCCUGACUUGGUGUCAAUCACAGAUGAGAUACAAGGGAUGCCACCUUCCCUAAAGUGAGGUCUAGGGAAGAUGGCAUCCAGGAAUGUCACUUUCAGCAUCUGCCCCAGGUCACUAGAUUUUUCAAUUUGCACUGUGCUAAUUCAGUGUAGGCAGGGCAAGAGCUCCCUCUCAGUGGACAUUUGCUCCAGAGCACUGAGCUUCUCUCUGUGCACCAAUUCAUAAUUGGUAUUGGAGAGCAACUGUGGUCUUGGAGCGGGGGUGUUCUCAGCAACCCUGAAUGCCAUCAGAGUGUGUUGGAAUACACUGUAGCUGCAGCGCCAUGGGAAGACGUGCUCUCAGGGUCUAAGGUGGGAUCUGCAAGGUGUUUCAAUAGGAUAGUCCAUAGGUCUAGGUGCCUUUUCUAUUGAUUUGUUAUACUGGGGGUUGAAUUCAUGGCCAAACGCUUGCUGGGAUAGUGUUCAAAAAAAAAAAAAAAAAAGGCAAAUGAAAGAAUUUUAUUUUAAGACAAGCUCUUUCUGAGUUGCCCAGGCUGGUCUCGAACUUACAAUUCUUCUGCUUCAGGUUCCACCUGCUACUACCUGGGGCAUGCACCACUACACCUGGCUUCUGAUGCUUCUCAGUCUGAGCCUCACUCAGGUGAAGGGGGCUCUGGCUCCAUUGUUUCUCCACCUUCCACCUCUGAUGAGAUGACUGUGUUGUCACAUUCUUCCUGGGAGCUGAUGUGGAACAGGCUGAAGUAAAACAUGCUCCGCAAACCCACUCAGCAAGCUCACCUGGUUUCCUUCCGACUGGCUGCCUGUGUGAGACGUCACCUCCUCCACUGACAGGACUUCCUCCAUUGACAGGAAGGCCCUUUCCCCACCAGUUUCAACAUGUCUUAAACAGGUUUCUACUUCUGGCAGACACAACUGAGUAUCAGUUGUUGACUACAGCCUGCCCCUAAAGAACUGCGAGCCCUGGACUUGCUGUGGAUGUGAACCAGUCCAGCUGAGGUGGACACCCCCUAUCUCUUCAACAGAGUCUGCCAACCAGCUGCUUCCCCAUUGCCUGAAUUCCCUUUUUGCUUUUGACUAGCAUUUCAGCCUUUUUGGGUCCCUAACUUCAUCCCAAAGUCGGCAGGAAGUAGCAUGGGAAAGAAUACAUAGCCCAUUUUCUCUAGUUGAAAUACUAAAUCAAAAUAAACUCCCUUACAUAGGGGAUGCCAAUAUCACUCACUCUCUGAUGGGGACGCUGGAGAGACAGCAAUUCCAUAAUUGGAAUCUCCAAAAAGAAAAUGGGGGAAUGAAGGGAUCAGCUCCCCGUUUUGGCAGCCAUAACAGCCUAACAAGUGCUUGCCUGACCUUGCCUUGGUCACUAGGAGGUCAGAUGCCUGCCUCAUGGCAAGGAACCAAACAGAAGUUAGAUGGUGGUGCUAUGCUUUACGGCUAUGGGUGUGCUUUACAGACAAGUGCGCAGCAAUGACGUGCAGAGCAUAGCCCUGGGAGGGCCUAUGUGCCAUGACAGCCAACUGGCCAAUCAACACAGGGCAAGUCCUCCAAUCCUGAAGGCACACCAAUCCUGAGCCUGUGCGUACCCUUAGACACUCCCCUUAUGCUUUCCUAUAAGAUCUCUGUCCCAUGGUUUCUCAGGGUCUUUUCCCAGCCAUCCGCCGUGUUGGAUGGGUGAAAGGCCUGAGCUAAUGGGGUUAGCUCCUUAAACAACUGCAAUAAAUCCUUUUGCUGUUUGCAUCAAGCUUUCCACCUCCGUGAGUGAUUGGGGUCGCUGCAGUCCUGGGCUGAGAGACUGGGGGCCUGAGCCUCUGA
ensembl:lncRNA